AUUGAACGCUGGCGGCAGGCUUAACACAUGCAAGUCGAGCGGAGAGAGGUAGCUUGCUACUGAUCUUAGCGGCGGACGGGUGAGUAAUGCUUAGGAAUCUGCCUAUUAGUGGGGGACAACAUUUCGAAAGGAAUGCUAAUACCGCAUACGUCCUACGGGAGAAAGCAGGGGAUCUUCGGACCUUGCGCUAAUAGAUGAGCCUAAGUCGGAUUAGCUAGUUGGUGGGGUAAAGGCCUACCAAGGCGACGAUCUGUAGCGGGUCUGAGAGGAUGACCCGCCACACUGGGACUGCGACACGGCCCAGACUCCUACGGGAGGCAGCAGUGGGGAAUAUUGGACAAUGGGCGCAAGCCUGAUCCAGCCAUGCCGCGUGUGUGAAGAAGGCCUUAUGGUUGUAAAGCACUUUAAGCGAGGAGGAGGCUACUUUAGUUAAUACCUAGAGAUAGUGGACGUUACUCGCAGAAUAAGCACCGGCUAACUCUGUGCCAGCAGCCGCCGUAAAAC
rnacentral:rRNA from 1 species